UCUAAGCCAUGCGAGUCGAGAGGUGCAAGACCUCGGCGUACUGCUCAGUAACACGUGGACAAUCUGCCCUGGAGUGGAGGAUAAUCCCGGGAAACUGGGGGUAAUACUCCAUAGUUCGUUAUGACUGGAAUGUUUUUCGAACGAAAGAUCCGUCGCUCCAGGAUGAGUCUGCGGCCGAUUAGGUAGUUGUUGGGGUAAAGGCCCAACAAGCCUGUAAUCGGUACGGGUUGUGGGAGCAAGAGCCCGGAGAUGGAUUCUGAGACACGAAUCCAGGCCCUACGGGGCGCAGCAGGCGCGAAAACUUUACAAUGCGGGAAACCGUGAUAAGGAAACCCCGAGUGCCAGCACAGGCUGGCUGUCCGCCAGUGUAAAUAACUGGUGAAGAAAGGGCCGGGCAAGACCGGUGCCAGCCGCCGCGGUAAUACCGGCGGCUCGAGUGGUGGCCACUAUUACUGGGCUUAAAGGGUCCGUAGCUUGAUAUGCAAGUCUCUUGAGAAAUCCGCCGGCUUAACUGGCGGGCGUUCAGGGGAAACUGCAUUUCUAGGGACCGGGAGAGGUGAGAGGUACUGCCGGGGUAGGAGUGAAAUCCUGUAAUCCCGGUGGGACCACCUAUGGCGAAGGCAUCUCACCAGAACGGGUCCGACAGUGAGGGACGAAAGCUGGGGGAGCAAACCGGAUUAGAUACCCGGGUAGUCCCAGCUGUAAACGAUGCGCGUUAGGUGUGUCAGUGACCACGUGUCACUGAGGUGCCGAAGGGAAACCGUGAAACGCGCCGCCUGGGGAGUACGGUCGCAAGGCUGAAACUUAAAGGRAUUGGCGGGGGAGCACCACAACGGGUGGAGCCUGCGGUUUAAUCGGACUCAACGCCGGAAAUCUCACCGGAUAAGACAGCUGAAUGAUAGUCGGGAUGAAGACUCUACUUGGCUAGCUGAGAGGAGGUGCAUGGCC
rnacentral:rRNA from 1 species